CUUUACUUUAUGAUACACGUAUGAGAUAUAUAGGUUUACUUUUAGGUCAGAGAAGUUGAUUGAGGUGACUACUACGACUUCUUUACUUUAUGAUACACGUAUGAGAUAUAUAGGUUUACUUUUAGGUCAGAGAAGUUGAUUGAGGUGACUACUACGACUUCUUUACUUUAUGAUACACGUAUGAGAUAUAUAGGUUUACUUUUAGGUCAGAGAAGUUGAUUGAGGUGACUACUACGACUUCUUUACUUUAUGAUACACGUAUGAGAUAUAUAGGUUUACUUUUAGGUCAGAGAAGCUGAUUGAU